GAAGCCCUAACUGAUUCAUAAUUAACGUAUAGGUUACUUGAUAUUUUUAGGAUAUGUUUGUUUCAUAGUCUAGGCGUGCAACAAAAAAGUAUUUAAAAUAAUUUUGAUUUUAAGGGAUUGGAAUGGGCAAAAAAUAGGCGUUUUUUGAUAUUUUUGGUACGAUUAUCUAAAUGUUUAAAUAAUUUAUUAUUGUUUAUUCAUGUUUUACCUUACUGGAAUGGAUGAUUUGAUUGUCCGUGUUAUAAUUAUAACUAUUAUUGGAUCUGCGAAAGGCUAAUCAGUUU